GGAAAAGCUGGAUUCUGCCCUGCCUCACUGGGUGUUGGGAAGGAAUGGGAAAUGCAGCCUGGACUCUUGUAUAUAUGGCACCUGCAUUCCAGGAGGUUCACAAAACUUUCUGUGCAUUGACAUGACUCAUGAGGUAGCAGAUCUGUGGAAAAACCUCUCUGCAGGAUUUUUUGUUUUGGAGCAGCCCUCUCCAGUUCAUCCCAGCCAUGGAGUGGUCCUGCAUUGCUGUCCUCUCCUUACAUCACAAAGGAAACCAGACAUCAUGUGCACUUUUUUAAUCUCCAGAUUGGGAAUACAUUUGAAGAUAAAUUUUGACAGCCGUCAACAGAUAAAGAUUUGCAUUGGGACAAGAACAUACCCCGGAAUUUUCAAGAUAAUUCAAUUUUAGAUUCAAUUUCUGCUUCAGAAACUAGCAUUUAUCAAUUCUACCAUAUUAAAAUUCAGGUCUGAAAAUAAAAUGAAGCCAGAAAGCA
rnacentral:lncRNA from 1 species